rnacentral:rRNA from 1 species
GAUGAACGCUGGCGGCGUGCCUAAUACAUGCAAGUCGAGCGAACAGAUGAGGAGCUUGCUCCUCUGACGUUAGCGGCGGACGGGUGAGUAACAUGUGGAUAACCUACCUAUAAGACUGGGAUAACUUCGGGAAACCGGAGCUAAUACCGGAUAAUAUAUUGAACCGCAUGGUUCAAUAGUGAAAGACGGUUUUGCUGUCACUUAUAGAUGGAUCCGCGCCGCAUUAGCUAGUUGGUAAGGUAACGGCUUACCAAGGCAACGAUGCGUAGCCGACCUGAGAGGGUGAUCGGCCACACUGGAACUGAGACACGGUCCAGACUCCUACGGGAGGCAGCAGUAGGGAAUCUUCCGCAAUGGGCGAAAGCCUGACGGAGCAACGCCGCGUGAGUGAUGAAGGUCUUCGGAUCGUAAAACUCUGUUAUUAGGGAAGAACAAAUGUGUAAGUAACUAUGCACGUCUUGACGGUACCUAAUCAGAAAGCCACGGCUAACUACGUG